rnacentral:rRNA from 1 species
UACGGAGGGUGCGAGCGUUGUUCGGAAUCACUGGGCGUAAAGCGCGUGUAGGCGGCUUCUUAAGUUCGGUGUGAAAGCCCGGGGCUUACCCCCGGAAGUGCACCGGGUACUGGGAGGCUCGAGUACCGGAGAGGAGGGUGGAAUUCCUGGUGUAGCGGUGAAAUGCGUAGAUAUCAGGAGGAACACCGGUGGCGAAGGCGGCCCUCUGGACGGAUACUGACGCUGAGACGCGAAAGCGUGGGGAGCAAACAGG